rnacentral:rRNA from 1 species
UGCAGUCGAACGGCAGCGCGGGGCAACCUGGCGGCGAGUGGCGAACGGGUGAGUAAUAUAUCGGAACAUACCCUAGAGUGGGGGAUAACGUAGCGAAAGUUACGCUAAUACCGCAUACGAUCUAAGGAUGAAAGUGGGGGAUCUUCGGACCUCAUGCUCAUGGAGUGGCCGAUAUCUGAUUAGCUAGUUGGUAGGGUAAAAGCCUACCAAGGCGACGAUCAGUAGCUGGUUUGAGAGAACGACCAGCCACACUGGAACUGAGACACGGUCCAGACUCCUACGGGAGGCAGCAGUGGGGAAUUUUGGACAAUGGGGGCAACCCUGAUCCAGCAAUGCCGCGUGAGUGAAGAAGGCCUUCGGGUUGUAAAGCUCUUUUGUCAGGGAAGAAACGGUGUUUCCUAAUACGGAAUGCUAAUGACGGUACCUGAAGAAUAAGCACCGGCUAACUACGUGCCAGCAGCCGCGGUAAUACGUAGGGUGCAAGCGUUAAUCGGAAUUACUGGGCGUAAAGCGUGCGCAGGCGGUUUUAUAAGUCUGAUGUGAAAUCCCCGGGCUCAACCUGGGAACUGCAUUGGAGACUGUAAGGCUAGAGUGUGUCAGAGGGGGGUAGAAUUCCACGUGUAGCAGUGAAAUGCGUAGAUAUGUGGAGGAAUACCGAUGGCGAAGGCAGCCCCCUGGGAUAACACUGACGCUCAUGCACGAAAGCGUGGGGAGCAAACAGGAUUAGAUACCCUGGUAGUCCACGCCCUAAACGAUGUCUACUAGUUGUCGGGUCUUAAUUGACUUGGUAACGCAGCUAACGCGUGAAGUAGACCGCCUGGGGAGUACGGUCGCAAGAUUAAAACUCAAAGGAAUUGACGGGGACCCGCACAAGCGGUGGAUGAUGUGGAUUAAUUCGAUGCAACGCGAAAAACCUUACCUACCCUUGACAUGGAAGGAAUCCCGAAGAGAUUUGGGAGUGCUCGAAAGAGAACCUUUACACAGGUGCUGCAUGGCUGUCGUCAGCUCGUGUCGUGAGAUGUUGGGUUAAGUCCCGCAACGAGCGCAACCCUUGUCAUUAGUUGCUACGAAAGGGCACUCUAAUGAGACUGCCGGUGACAAACCGGAGGAAGGGGGGAUGACGUCAAGUCCUCAUGGCCCUUAUGGGUAGGGCUU